rnacentral:lncRNA from 1 species
CUACAAGAAAGUUCCCAGUAGGUUCGGCUGCCGACCUCGCCGACUCACCCACUAGGUCUACUCAGGCAUAUGUAGGCAAGAAANNNNNNNNNNNNNNNNNNNNNNNNNNNNNNNNNNNNNNNNNNNNNNNNNNNNNNNNNNNNNNNNNNNNNNNNNNNNNNNNNNNNAACGCCAACCGCUAGCUCACAAUAACUUUCACAGCGGUUACGCGCCCUAUUUCUCUAAACCUCAAGCUCCUUUCGAAUCAGGAGCUAUGUAAACUGGAAUGCUCUAAGAUCUCGCGUAACCUUGUCAUCGGCUGUCUAACCGAGAUGGCGGCUUCAAGCUUCCUUAUGUGUUACAUAAAGUACAAAGUUUGGAAGCAUUUAUACACGUAGUAGGACCUGUACAAAACCUUAAGCUUGGUCACCUCAACGUCCUUGUAUAUUGAAUACUUUUCAUAGGUCAUACAUAAAACCUAGUACUCCACUUUCUUAACGCUUUAGCGUGGUAAGGGAUACACUUUCAUGUUUCCUCAUUAGUGAGUUCCGCUCUCCGUUGAACCCUUAACCUUCUUCGAUACACGCUUAGGAUAGGAGUAAAUAAACUGGUCACCUUUACUCCAUACUUAAAUUCAAAGCUCCUGCUUUGAUAAAUUCCUCCCCUCUAACAUUAUCCAACUCUAAACUAAUAUCCAAUUAACACUAAUUCCACUAGUGUUAUUACGAUUUUACUUUUAAUUCACAAAGAUUUGAAUUACUCAUCGAUUCCAAGUUCUUUCGGCGCUUAUUUGUAUAACUCUGUUGUCGCAACUGGGCCGUUAACAAUCUCUGGCGGACUAGGCGUACCUUUUCCUCAACUUCUUGGAUUACCUUAGGACCAAGAACGAUUCUUUCUCCCACUUCAUUCCAAUGAAUAGGGAAUUGACAUUUUCUCCCGUAUAGGGCUUCAAGCGGUACCAUAGCGACAUUUUCUUGAUAGCUAUUAUUAUAUGCAACCUCGGCCAUAGGUUCCGCUUUAACUUAAUCCACAAUUCAUACAUAUUUCCAAUCCUUUAUUUUCAAUACUUACCAAAAUAUAGAAUUAUAUCAUUCUGUGUUCUUUCCAACUGAUUACUGCAAGUUCUUCAAGUCUCAAUGGCAAUGGAAGUCAACAUUCCAUGACUUACUCUAUUCCGAUAUCAUUUAUCAUCAAAACUUAUUUGUCUUGAUUACCACACCAAUUCAAUCCUCACUUAAGUGAUAUGCUUUAGAAUUAGCAUUCUCCUCAUACAAUUAGACCUAACAUGCCCCUGUCAUCAUUCUUAUCAUCAAUAGGUGAUAACCAAUUCACACCAAUAGGCAUCAUCUUACUUCAAAGAAUAGUACUAUCUGUUUUUCCCACAGUGGGGGUCAUUCCUGCAUGACGCUUACUCGAAAUGUCCAUAGACUACCUUGAUUCAUAUACAAACUUAUCAGGUAACAUCCAUGAUACCCGUUAUUCUCCAGUGGAGUCUACUUUGAUUUCUCAACUGGCAUCGCUACUUGCGAUAUUACAAUACACUGCUCAAUUGUGAGUAUUUAAUCACAGCAAAUUUCCCCUCCUCGACCGAAGGGUUCAUUCCCAUCUCGACAACUCCAAUGAUUUGAAGGCAUAAUCCUCCAAAAUCUCCUGUGGCUCCCACUACACACUAAUUUCAAAGAAAACCUUUUACUUUUCCGGCCACGUUCACAAUAUAUUAAUCUCUCGCCAUGAGUUUUCAUGAACACCUCGUUCGUGCUUCUAAUCUCAAUUUCUCAUCAGCGCCUAACUCGGCGAUUCAAAACAGGCAAAUAGUAGGACCGAGCCUCCUCUCCUAAAGUCACUAUCCUCAAUUCUCUUUAUCCUUUGAUGCUACAAGCCACGAUCAAUGUCCAUUCGUUCUUGCAACGUAUGUAUACGAACCCGCCAUUCGUGGUUCAGGCCAAAACUCACUAACAGAGUUGUCGGCCGCACCGACCAUCGGUUCCCACAGGUGGACCAAGGGCCACCAAUCCUACGUAGGCCUACAGCCUAACCGAUCUCAACGACGCCUAGCGUCUCUCGCUCGCAAGCGCAAACCCAAUCAUCAUCGGGCGACAUCCUCAUUGGAGAAUUCGCACACACUCCAACUAGGAGCAACCAAAACCCCAAACCAUGUCAAGUCCUCGGGUUGGUUCGCUACACACUCUGUGUGUCCUCGAUCUCACGAUCUAACACGUGGCAUUCCACGUACUCGGGUCCAAGCUCGGACUACCGUCCUGACCAAAUCUCUGCCCUACCCGUAGGUAUCGGGCAGUUGCCUGUCGCAGCUGAUUGCACCUGCCCAAUGGGCCCAAGCUCCACAGUCCACAAAAGGUCCAGGCACAGGUCGUCCCCAUGCACUACCCGCCAACGUCGUCCUACACGACAUGCUCUACAGAGCUACACACGCUAACAGCUCCUAGGCACCUAGUGCGAGCUACCAGUCCUACGAGUGAUCCAUGGCACACUUCACACUUAGCAACGCUCAAGUGCUACUGCCAACACACUCUCCUGGCUGAAUCAGAAUCCACAUUCUACGGACAGCUAUACUCAAGCAUCCUACACUAUCGCGUCUCUUGCCAGACAUCUCACGCUAGGCAACUCGACCUAUGCCUCAAAUACGUAACACAAUUUCUUCAACUUAUUUGGGGUACGACUCAACUAACUCGCCAAAACCAGGCGAUCAUCUAACCAUGCCCCAACAUUGGCUCACUGCAACUACUUACUAGCACUAUCCAUCUGCCUAUUCAAACGAUCGGCGAUACACUUUCUUCGUCUACUCACGUUAGAGUAUUAUAUCUCCCCAAAUCCAAGUCUCUAUCACGUUCUUGCCUAUACCGCUCGGAGUUUGUAUCAUUUCCAAAUAUACAAUAUUCUUACUGAAGGCAAUUUACUACCAUUUCACUUAUCCAAUAAUACACGCGGCCUUGCCGGGUGAAAGUUAUGACAAUCAUUCCUCUCGAAGUAAAAGGUCAACCAACAGACCUUUCCGAAUUCUAGGAUGACGACUGCAACUCUCUUCCAGGUGUUGCUUAACACUCGAUUAACCACUCGAGCUCAAUAUCAGUCGCUUAUCUUUCAUUCUCACUAAUCAAUUCGCACCCCUUCCGUGCGAGAUAUCACUUAACUUCAACCACAAGGUUUGGUCCACUACUUCACCAGAAGUUUAUAGGUUAGGAAAGCGUAUAACUUUGACACAUUUUCUGUCAACGUUUCCUUAUUUCAUAAUCGGCCUUGUUUCCAAUAUCUUACACUGUGUACUAAUCAUAGCUUAGCAUAUAGAAAAUCUUUCUACCUACUUUUCUCUGAACAGGCAUCCUGCUAUAGCCCCCAUGAUUUAUCUUGAAGUCCACUUGUCGUUAAUUCCAACAACAACUCUAUAUCCUGUCCCCGAUUUCUCGUUCUCUUUCACACGAUUCGCGUUCAGCACGCGCAAUCACAUUUUCACGCUCCACCCAAAGAGCUCGAUCCAGGACUUCUUCAUAUUCUCCUCCUGCCUCUGUACAACUCCAACCAACACGCUCACCUGAGCACGCAACUCCUGAACCUCACUAGAUCCAGUCUGCUCUGGCACCCCAAAAGGUGAUGCCGGAGUGGAUCUCGUCGCACGUCGCGACAUUUCUUUUGAAAUGAACCGUUUACACUAGAAAAACAAUACCAAUCAGGCGAAAGCAAUCAAGUGUAUUUAUACUCAACCCUUAGCUUUAUGUUGUGGGCCCCCAACAUAACUCCUUUAGUUGUAUAUAAAUAACACUUGGAUCAGCCCCUAAUUAACAUUAGAGACUUACUAACAACUAACCAAAUUUAUUUAGCUUUCGCUAUCAUUAGAUUCGCGCCACUCGCGUUCCUGGUUCCUAGGUUUCCAUUCCUAAGUCCCCUAGGUCAUCCUAGACUUUCACUAUCACUUGCUCUGAUACCACUCUAUCUGUCACGUCCUGCUAUCGCCAAUUUGAUCAAUCCGGGCACGUACACAGACGCCGAACGAACAGCAUCUCCUCUGUUCGCCCAAGGCUCAACACAACGAAUACAUGUAUAAAGAAAUAAACAAUUCCCAGGAUACAUUUCAAUAUACAUGGCUUGCACGAAGACAAGCAACAACACAAGUGAUAGUAAGUCUAACUAAACAUGAAAUCCACUGUAAUUUAAAACUUUACAUAACUGAAACAUUUAGUUAUUAUAUACUUUAUAUACAUUCAUUUACAUGUCGCUGUACAUCAAAAUAGAUGAUACACGAACCCAAAAUGGUAUACCACUAGUACUCGGGUGUCCACUAGCUAGGCUGCUGGCUCUUGCCUCGAUCCUCGGCCACAACGCUCACACUGGAACCUGUAUGGUUAGUGGUGUGAGAACUACAAGAAAGUUCCCAGUAGGUUCGGCUGCCGACCUCGCCGACUCACCCACUAGGUCUACUCAGGCAUAUGUAGGGAAGAAAAGUAAAGCAGAUAGUAACCAAGUAUAAUAUGUAACUACUACAAUGCCUGUAUAAAGCUGAAGGAAGUAGUAUAUGAAAACUGUAAAUAUGCAUGCAUGCUUUUCUUUAAUUUUACCCAAUCUUUUGGUUAACCCUUUGGUUAACAAUAACUCACUGACGCU